rnacentral:rRNA from 1 species
AACAGGAUUAGAUACCCUGGGUAGUCCACGCCGUAAACGAUGUCGAUUUGGGGGUUGUGCCCUUGAGGCGUGGCUUCCGGAGCUAACGCGUUAAAUCGACCGCCUGGGGAGUACGGCCGCAAGGUUAAAACUCAAAUGAAUUGACGGGGGCCCGCACAAGCGGUGGAGCAUGUGGUUUAAUUCGAUGCAACGCGAAGAACCUUACCUGGUCUUGACAUCCACAGAACUUAGCAGAGAUGCUUUGGUGCCUUCGGGAACUGUGAGACAGGUGCUGCAUGGCUGUCGUCAGCUCGUGUUGUGAAAUGUUGGGUUAAGUCCCGCAACGAGCGCAACCCUUAUCCUUUGUUGCCAGCGGUCCGGCCGGGAACUCAAAGGAGACUGCCAGUGAUAAACUGGAGGAAGGUGGGGAUGACGUCAAGUCAUCAUGGCCCUUACGACCAGGGCUACACACGUGCUACAAUGGCAUAUACAAAGAGAAGCGACCUCGCGAGAGCAAGCGGACCUCAUAAAGUAUGUCGUAGUCCGGAUUGGAGUCUGCAACUCGACUCCAUGAAGUCGGAAUCGCUAGUAAUCGUAGAUCAGAAUGCUACGGUGAAUACGUUCCCGGGCCUUGUACACACCGCCCGUCACACCAUGGGAGUGGGUUGCAAAAGAAGUAGGUAGCUUAACCUUCGGGAGGGCGCUUACCACUUUGUGAUUCAUGACUGGGGUGAAGUCGUAACAAGGUAC